ACUAAUGUUUUUAUUCCCUAGACUUCAUCCCAAUGAGUAAUAAAGAAACCAUUCUCCAUCCUCAGAAAUUGGCAGGGAAGGAGUUAAACUUCUUCCUUGGGUUAGAAUAAUGGCCACAGGUGUUCCCUCUGGGGGCUGGAGAGGUGAUUUGAACCAGGUGUGGGGAAUUUAAUUAAUUGAGUAGUUUGCUGUGUUUGGAGCUGGAGCUGGAGUGCAGCAGUCUGCAGGAGAGAAGUCCUCAAGUGUUUGCUUUUGAUUGCUCUGCAAAUACUUUGCCAAGGAUGCUGAUUCUACACAAGAGGCCUCCCUUUGAACAAUUAAUAGAUCCCCAAAUACAUGGAUUUCAGUUCUCUUCCUCUUCCGCUUCUUCCAGAAGACCAUCUUCUUUUUGAGCGUUGCUGCAGGAAAGGUGGGAGACUUGACCAACUGACCUUCUAAAUCAGCUUGCACAAGAAACAAGGUGAGACAGUAGGAGAAAGGAAACCAGAAUAUUUCAGUCUACCUACAAAUUGUAUUUCUACACAAACUUACUGCUUAAAUAAGAACAGCACUCUUAAUUUAAGUGCAUCCAAAUGAGUGUAACCCAGACUGCAAGAGGACAAUGAAUUGCCUUUGUCUCCACCAACACACUUGGUAAUCCAAUUAAAAAAUGUACGUGGAAGAUUUAACAGAAGUAAAGAGAAACUUUUUUCCAAAAACAAGUCUGCUGAAGACAAGGAGUAAGGUUGGACUCAUCAGAGUAAGUGAAUCAAACUUUUCCUUCUGCUCCUUCCAGGUUCAAGUGCCUAAAAGGGUGCUUUGCUAAACUCUGUAUUCUCUAAUUGAAAUAAAAAUUGUUCACCUUCAUGCAGAAAUUAGUAGGUGAAAUGU